rnacentral:lncRNA from 1 species
ACAUGCAUACAGCCCAGUCUAACGUACAGGAUCAAAAAGAGACCUUAUUUCGGCUGGCAAUUACCUUACCCGCUUGUUCAUUAUCUGACUCCUGCACUCCUCCCAAGUGUUCAAUGUUAACCAGAUGGCAAAGUUAACCAGACAGAGGAAAUCCACAUAAUUACUCUAGAUGAAGCCCCCUAACUGCGGAUUAGAAGGAAAAGAGAUGAAGGGUGCUGCACUAAUAAUAACAACCAUUUUCAACCAAGGCAGGAUUCUGGGCCUAGAAUCUUCAGUGACAAAUUACCAGGAGAGGAGGAGGGAAAUGAAGAGCUGGAGGCCUAGGGAGAUGGUGUGAGGAGAGGAGACUGUGCCUUUCCACUUCUUAAUAAUUAAUGUUCUCCUGCUGCUCUGAGUCUGCAGCACCAGUGAUUCAGUUUGAGUCAGACAUCCAACAACAACUGAGCAAAAGAAUCAUCUCAGAUCCAAGCAAUGGUGACGCGCAGAUAGAAGAGACUGAGGCCAACGACCAAAGCAAAGGACAGCAGAACUGACUGACACAGCUCAGAAAAUAUCCAAAGCUCGGUAUGCUCUGGAAAGGAAGACAAGAAAUGCUAAAGACUCUGGAUAUUGCUCUGUUUCUAUAAGGUCCCACCCAUAUACCAUCUCUUCUUUUGGAUUUCCUUUGGCAGGGUUCCCUUGUAUGGAAGUUCUCAGGAGAACAACACUCUCAGAGUCCCACUGUCUCAAAGAAUUCUUAAUGGACAGCUAUACUUGGCCCCAAGGUUUCAACCUCACACUGAAGAAAGUGACAUAAGAAAACACAAGUCCCAGUGCUAUCAGGGGCUAUCUGGAAAAGCUGCUUAAACAGCAAGUGAAAGAAGGCUCUCCCCUACCCCGUUCUAUGAAAUACACUAUCUGUUAAGCUGUGUCAGUAGCUAAGUCUGUGUGUCUAAAUUAAAAACAGACUCACCCUGAAGUUAUUUGAAGGAUCCUUGAGACUCUUUUGGAUUGCUGCUUGGAGAACAUUCCUGUAACUUGUCCCUGCUCCUUGAACUAUAAAAGCAGAAGGGAGGUACUGAGUUAAAACUUACAAAUUAUUAUCAAAUAAAUCUUCAAUAGUGGUUC